AAUCAUCAACUUCAAAAACUUUGUGUUUUUCGAAGCUUGGUCUUGAGGGUUUUUGCAGGCUUCUUGUGAGUCGGCUCCCUUUAAAUCCAUUAGCGAGACUUCCCUGUGCUGAACCGUCUCUUGACGUGAUAGUCUAUCUGCGUCGACUUUGGUUCUCGUUGGGCUUGCUUCUAACCGUCCCACACUUGUGGACAAUAGGAUUUGAGUGCAUAUAUGCGCCCUUUUCCAAACCUU
rnacentral:misc_RNA from 1 species